rnacentral:rRNA from 1 species
GACGAACGCUGGCGGCGUGCUUAACACAUGCAAGUCGAACGGAAAGGCCCUGCUUUUGUGGGGUGCUCGAGUGGCGAACGGGUGAGUAACACGUGAGUAACCUGCCCUUGACUUUGGGAUAACUUCAGGAAACUGGGGCUACUACCGGAUAGGAGCUCCUGCUGCAUGGUGUGGGUUGGAAAGUUUCGGCGGGUGGGGAUGGACUCGCGGCUUAUCAGCUUGUUGGUGGGGUAGUGGCUUACCAAGGCUUUGACGGGUAGCCGGCCUGAGAGGGUGACCGGCCACAUUGGGACUGCGAUACGGAGCAGACUCCGACGGGAGGCAGCAGUGGGGAAUAUUGCACAAUGGGCGGAAGCCUGAUGCAGCGACGCCGGGUGCGUGAUGACGUCCUUCGGGUUGUAAACCGCUUUCGCCGGUGACGAAGCGGGAGUGACGGUAAUGGGUGAAGAAGCACCGGCUAACUACGUG